ACGUCCUCAUACAACAUCAUUCUGUACCCGAGAGGCGAGCCACCCCGUUAUACACCAUCCCUCUGUUCUCGGGGAGAGGCACCACGACGUGCUAUACCAUCCUUCUCGGGAAACGAAAAGACACCGUGCAGGACCUUCCUCAUGUGUUCGGGAAGCCACACAGUACCUCGGCCUUGUUGCACAACUUGAUCACUUCCCGACAUAAUGAGUGACCGUUCCCAGACCUACCACAGCCAUGCAACUCGCCAGACACGUUCACGUACAGCGUAUCCUGGUGCGUGCGAGUUGCUCUUCCAUGUGGUGCCAUCUAUCGACAAGAAGCGUCUUUGACGGAUCAAUUCACCCUGGAACAUAUACGAGAAAUAGCACCUUAUCUCGGUGUGUCGGUGAUAUAUCCCAGUAGCAUUGGUGCACACAAGUACAUUGUUACAGACAAGCAGCCACAGUGUAGUGUACACAGUGUGGCAGUUAUUAACACUGUCUCUGUAAUACAUAUGCACUGUAUUCUACAAUAUAGUAAAGACACUGAAGACACACGUGCAACAAGAUAAGCAGUGUUACUGUACAUAAACGGGAAGAAACAGUUUCUUAAGCAUUCAUACAAAUGUAUACACAAUAUCACACAGCAUAUUAACAAUAUGAUUACCGAGACAUGGUGUCGCUACAGUGAUACAUACACAGUAUGAUACAGUAUUACAGAUCUGUUCAUACAAUGUUGUAGAAUUAUGACACUGUUACUUUAAUACCUACACAGUAGGUACACAGUUUGACUGCAUUACAUCCACAAUACGAUACAGUACAUAGCACUGCAUAUGCAAAAUGAAAAAAAUAUACACGCUGUUGCUGUAGCACAUACACGCCAUCUUACAGUAAUACAGGCAUAAUGUAUUGCAUACAUGUUAUUUUACAGUAAUACAAAUAUAUUGUAGUACAUACAUGUUAUCUUACAGUAAAACAGAUAUAAUGUAGUGCAUACAUGUUAUCUUUACAGUAAGACAUAAUGUAGUACAUACAUGUUAUCUUACAGUAAAACAGAUAUAAUGUAGUACAUACAUGUUAUCUUACAGUAAUACAGAUAUAAUGUAGUACAUACAUGUUAUCUUACAGUAAAACAGAUAUAGUGUAGUACAUACAUGUUAUCUUACAGUAAAACAGACAUAAUGUAGUACAUACAUGUUAUCUUACAGUAAUACAGAUAUAAUGUAGUACAUACAUGUUAUCUU